ensembl:snRNA U6 U6 spliceosomal RNA
UUCAGUGCUCACUUCAUUAGAAAUACGCUAAGAUUGGAAAGUACAGAGAAGAUUUGCACGGCCUUUGUGCAAGGAUGACAUGCAACUUCGUGAAUCGUUCCAUGUUUUU